GAUGAACGCUAGCGGCAGGCUUAACACAUGCAAGUCGAGGGGUAACAGGGAGAAGCUUGCUUUUCCGCUGACGACCGGCGCACGGGUGCGUAACGCGUAUAGAACCUACCUUUUACUGAGGAAUAGCCUUUAGAAAUGAAGAUUAAUACCUCAUAGUAUUUUAGAUUGGCAUCGAUUUAAAAUUAAAGAUUUAUUGGUAAAAGAUGGCUAUGCGUCCUAUUAGUUAGUUGGUGAGGUAACGGCUCACCAAGACAGCGAUAGGUAGGGGUCCUGAGAGGGAGAUCCCCCACACUGGUACUGAGACACGGACCAG
rnacentral:rRNA from 1 species